GAUGAAGAACGUAGCGAAAUGCGAUAAGUAAUGUGAAUUGCAGAAUUCAGUGAAUCAUCGAAUCUUUGAACGCACAUUGCGCCCGCCAGUAUUCUGGCGGGCAUGCCUGUCUGAGCGUCAUUUCAACCCUCAUGCCCCUAGGGCGUGGUGUUGGGGAUAGGCCAAAGCCCGCAAGGGACGGCCGGCCCCUAAAUCUAGUGGCGGACCCGUCGUGGCCUCCCCUGCGAAGUAGUGAUAUUCCGCAUAGGAGAAGCGACGAGCCCCUGCCGUUAAACCCCCAACUUUCUCAGGUUGACCUCAGAUCAGGUAGGAAUACCCGCUGAACUUAAGCAUAUCAUAAGCGGAGGA
rnacentral:misc_RNA from 1 species